rnacentral:rRNA from 1 species
CAUUCACGGAGAGUUUGAUCCUGGCUCAGGACGAACGCUGGCGGCGUGCUUAACACAUGCAAGUCGAACGAUGAAGCCUUUCGGGGUGGAUUAGUGGCGAACGGGUGAGUAACACGUGGGCAAUCUGCCCUUCACUCUGGGACAAGCCCUGGAAACGGGGUCUAAUACCGGAUAACACUCUGUCCCGCAUGGGACGGGGUUAAAAGCUCCGGCGGUGAAGGAUGAGCCCGCGGCCUAUCAGCUUGUUGGUGGGGUAAUGGCCUACCAAGGCGACGACGGGUAGCCGGCCUGAGAGGGCGACCGGCCACACUGGGACUGAGACACGGCCCAGACUCCUACGGGAGGCAGCAGUGGGGAAUAUUGCACAAUGGGCGAAAGCCUGAUGCAGCGACGCCGCGUGAGGGAUGACGGCCUUCGGGUUGUAAACCUCUUUCAGCAGGGAAGAAGCGAAAGUGACGGUACCUGCAGAAGAAGCGCCGGCUAACUACGUGCCAGCAGCCGCGGUAAUACGUAGGGCGCAAGCGUUGUCCGGAAUUAUUGGGCGUAAAGAGCUCGUAGGCGGCUUGUCACGUCGGAUGUGAAAGCCCGGGGCUUAACCCCGGGUCUGCAUUCGAUACGGGCUAGCUAGAGUGUGGUAGGGGAGAUCGGAAUUCCUGGUGUAGCGGUGAAAUGCGCAGAUAUCAGGAGGAACACCGGUGGCGAAGGCGGAUCUCUGGGCCAUUACUGACGCUGAGGAGCGAAAGCGUGGGGAGCGAACAGGAUUAGAUACC